GGAUGACUCUUAAAAGUCCCAACUCAGAUGAUUCUGUGACAUCCCUAGGGAAGCCCAGAAGUUGGGAUACUUUCUUCGUUUUCCUCCUGCCAAUGUGCUAUUGGACAGGCUUUCCACCUCCUGUUCUAGAGCUGCACUCGUUUCUUCAAUUUUUCCUACUCCAUCUUUUGUCCAAAUUGCUAAAAGCAGUAGAAGAUAGCAUAUUCCUCUGCUGAGCUGAGCAAUCAUUGUAAUUCCAGGGUUCAACAUUUUAAUUCUCAACUACCUGUUUUUGUUUAGUUAAUGAAAAAAGAGGUGGGGACCUGUUGUGAAGCACUGAAGGAUUUGAGACCCAGAGUACCUUAAACAAAUCUAAGAAAACUUCGUUAAAAAAAGAAAAAGAGAGACCAAAAACCAAGAAGGAAAAAUAGUACUCUUGACUCCAGCCUUGGCAUUGUUGAGGCGACAGAGCUGGUAACAUGCUGGAAACAGGGAUUCCUCAUAGACCACCCAGAAGAACACAUCUCAGGUCUGCUUCGUGGACUCUACGUGCAGACUCCAUUUGGAGGUGCAGAAAUCCUUUUGUGGUACAGUGGGGCCAACAGCAGAACCAAGGAAUGUGGGGAAAACUGCCUCUGCAACAAGAACAUCAGAUCUUUUCUCUCCUCACUGAACAUCCUGCGUUCUCCCCUCAGGACUCAAGAAAAGCUCAGUGGAGAAGGGCAGGAGAGUGUUUAAGGAAGAAUUUGAACAAUGAAGUAACUUUGCUGCUGUUGGCAGAGAACCUUUCUGCAGCCUGAGGAACCAACCGGGAGAAGCCAUGAAAGUGUGUGUUUAAAAAAACACAGUGAAGAGUUCUUGAAGAAAUAACAAGCUUUAAGGAUCGUCCAGUACGCU
ensembl:lncRNA